UACGUAGGGUGCAAGCGUUGUCCGGAAUUAUUGGGCGUAAAGAGCUCGUAGGUGGUUUGUCGCGUUGUUCGUGAAAACUCACAGCUUAACUGUGGGCGUGCGGGCGAUACGGGCAGACUGGAGUACUGCAGGGGAGACUGGAAUUCCUGGUGUAGCGGUGAAAUGCGCAGAUAUCAGGAGGAACACCGGUGGCGAAGGCGGGUCUCUGGGCAGUAACUGACGCUGAGGAGCGAAAGCGUGGGGAGCGAACAGG
rnacentral:rRNA from 1 species